rnacentral:rRNA from 1 species
CCAAGGGAACGGGCUUGGCGGAAUCGGCGGGGAAAGAAGACCCUGUUGAGCUUGACUCUAGUCGAACGUCGAGGAACAGCACGGACGAACGUAGCAUAGGUGGGAGGCUCCGGCCGAACCUGAAAUACCACCGUCUCCGUCGUUGUUCUUCUCAUUUGGUGGUGUAGGGAUGGGGCGAGGCCCCUUUUUCUGGAGACGGCCGCGACGCGCGCCCGUCCGGGCUCCGUCGCUCGCGCGAGCGAGCGGCGGGGUCCGGCAGGCCUCCGCCCGCGGCGCCUAAUCCGAAGACGUCGUUCGGUGGGGAGUUUGGCUGGGGCGGCACAUCCGUUAAAAGGCAACGCGGGUGUCCAAAGGGGAGCUCGGCGAGAAGGGAAAUCUCGCGUCGAACGAAAGGGUAAAAGCUCCCUUGAUUCCGAUCUUCAGUACUGAUACGAACCUCGAAAGAGUGGCCUAGC